AUACUGUUGGGCUAGAGUGCAGUAGAGGGAGGUGGAAUCCCGGUGUAGUGGUGAAAUGCGUAGAUAUCGGGAGGAACACCAGUAGCGAAGGCGGCCUCCUGGGCUGUUACUGACGCUGAGGCCCGAAAGCGUGGGGAGCGAACAGGAUUAGAUACCCUGGUAGUCCACGCUGUAAACCAUGGAUACUAGGUAUGGGGAGUAUCGACCCUCUCCGUGCCGAAGCUAACGCUUUAAGUAUCCCGCCUGGGAACUACGGUCGCAAGACUAAAACUCAAAGGAAUUGACGGGGGCCCGCACAAGCAGCGGAGCGUGUGGUUUAAUUCGAUGCAACGCGAAGAACCUUACCAAGGCUUGACAUGUCGGUAGUAGUGACCCGAAAGGGAAGCGACCUGUUAAGUCAGGAACCGGCACAGGUGCUGCAUGGCUGUCGUCAGCUCGUGCCGUGGGGUGUUAGGUUAAGUCCUGUAACGAGCGCAACCCUCGUUGCCAGUUAAUUUCUCUGGCGAGACUGCCCCGCAAAACGGGGAGGAAGGUGGGGAUGACGUCAAGUCAGCACGGCCCUUAUGCCUUGGGCUACACACACGCUACAAUGGGUGGUACAAAGGGUAGCAAGGGAGUGAUCCGGAGCUAAUCCUAAAAACCAUCCUCAGUUCAGAUUGCAGGCUGAAACCCGCCUGCAUGAAGUCGGAGUUGCUAGUAACCGCAUAUCAGCAUGGUGCGGUGAAUACGUUCUCGGGCCUUGUACACACCGCCCGUCACGUCAUGAAAGUCGGCAAUACCUGAAGUCGAUGGGCUAACCC
rnacentral:rRNA from 1 species